GACGAACGCUGGCGGCGUGCCUAAUACAUGCAAGUUGAGCGCUGAAGGUUGGUACUUGUACCGACUGGAUGAGCAGCGAACGGGUGAGUAACGCGUGGGGAAUCUGCCUUUGAGCGGGGGACAACAUUUGGAAACGAAUGCUAAUACCGCAUAAAAACUUUAAACACAAGUUUUAAGUUUGAAAGAUGCAAUUGCAUCACUCAAAGAUGAUCCCGCGUUGUAUUAGCUAGUUGGUGAGGUAAAGGCUCACCAAGGCGAUGAUACAUAGCCGACCUGAGAGGGUGAUCGGCCACAGUGGGACUGAGACACGGCCCAAACUCCUACGGGAGGCAGCAGUAGGGAAUCUUCGGCAAUGGACGAAAGUCUGACCGAGCAACGCCGCAUGAGUGAAGAAGGUUUUCGGAUCGUAAAACUCUGUUGGUAGAGAAGAACGUUGGUGAGAGUGGAAAGCUCAUCAAGUGACGGUAACUACCCAGAAAGGGACGGCUAACUACGUG
rnacentral:rRNA from 1 species